rnacentral:rRNA from 1 species
GAAUUUUGCGCAAUGGGCGAAAGCCUGACGCAGCAACGCCGCGUGGAGGAUGAAGGCCUUCGGGUCGUAAACUCCUGUCAGGGGGGACGAAACGCCCGGCAACGGGCAUUGACUGUACCCCCUGAGGAAGCCACGGCUACCUCCGUGCCAGCAGCCGCGGUAAUACGGAGGUGGCAAGCGUUGUUCGGAAUUACUGGGCGUAAAGGGCGCGUAGGCGGCAAGGCAAGUCAGGUGUGAAAGCCCCGAGCUUAACUCGGGAAUUGCAUCUGAAACUGCUGUGCUUGAGUUCUGGAGGGGGUAGUGGAAUUCCCAGUGUAGCGGUGAAAUGCGUAGAUAUUGGGAGGAACACCUGCGGCGAAGGCGGCUACCUGGACAGAAACUGACGCUGAGGCGCGAAAGCUAGGGGAGCGAACGG